GACGAACGCUGGCGGCGUGCCUAAUACAUGCAAGUCGAACGCACAGUUUAUACCGUAGCUUGCUACACCAUAGACUGUGAGUUGCGAACGGGUGAGUAACGCGUAGGUAACCUGCCUGGUAGCGGGGGAUAACUAUUGGAAACGAUAGCUAAUACCGCAUCAUAUUGAUUAUUGCAUGAUAAUUGAUUGAAAGAUGCUAUUGCAUCACUACCAGAUGGACCUGCGUUGUAUUAGCUAGUAGGUGAGGUAACGGCUCACCUAGGCGACGAUACAUAGCCGACCGGCGAGGGUGAUCGGCCACCCUGGGACUGUGACACGGCCCAGACUCCUACGGGAGGCAGCAGGAGGGAAUCUUCGGCAAUGGACGAAAGUCUUACCGAGCAACGCCGCGUGAGUGAAGAAGGUUGUCGGAUCGGAAAGCUCUGUUGUAAGAGAAGAACGGGUGUGAGAGUGGAAAGUUCACACUGUGACGGUAUCUUACCAGAAAGGGACGGCUAACUACGUG
rnacentral:rRNA from 1 species